CUAUGAAGAAUAGCCGAGCCAUACUCACUGAUAGCCUAAUAUAUACUUGAAUAUAGUUUGGGUGAAUUUACGAAGCAUUGUUAGAUACAGAUUCCCAAGAUAUAGCCUACGUGUACGGUUCUCAUCCUCUCUCACUCCAGCAAAAAAAGCUAGUGUUUGGUUUUCGGACUGUUGCUUGUAAAAUAGCUCAGCUUACUCAUUGAUAUCCCCUACUUUAAUUAAUUUGCGCGAGAGAUUGCAAGCCAAGAAAUUGCGAAAAACAGCAUUGCGAUAGCCUACAUCUUCUGAUUACCGAUACACGGUUCUGUUGUGCUGCCUGGUGGCCGAUAUGCCUACCUAUGCCCCUAUAUCUCUCUCUCUUUGCUGUGAAAUAUGUUUGUUCUCGAAAUAGACUACGGAGAAUAGUUUCCUCCGUUGCAAAAAUACAGAAAUUUAGUAGUAGAUCGAAGCUUGACAUCCAGUAAUGGAGUCGACGGACUCCACACCAUAUAGCAGUUUCCCGUGUGUAUCAAGAAUGGUCACCACCCAAAGGACAUCUAGCCAAUUUGACAACUGUGGACAACUGUGGGAAGGAUUGGAGUCAACAUGGGCCCGCAUCCCCGUGGGAUUCUCUUGACACCUUGUAGAGCAUGCCCUGACAAAUUCAGGCUGUUCUGAGGGCAAAAGGAGGGCAUAAAACUCAAUAUAUGGAAGGUGUUCCUAAUGUGUGGUAUAUAUAAAACACAAGCAAAUCACAUUGACAACACCAGGCUUUUAAAGGGUACCUUAGUGAAGUGUUAUCAUGCAUGGGAUGGCAGACUAACUAUGCCCAUGUCAAGGUAUUCCAAUAAACAGUUACACAAUGAUAAACGACACCAUGGUGUUGUCCCAAACCUUUAUUGCAGCCCUCGAACAGAACAUUUACAGCACGUGUCAAACUCAUUCCACGGAGGGCUGAGUGUCUGCGGGUUUUCGCUCCUCCCUGGGUGUCUAGGUCCUCAUUGGAAAAAAAAAACUAAAACCCGCAGACACUAGGUCCUGCAUGGAAUGAGUUCGACACCCCUGAUUUAUAGAAACUGUGACAGCCGUCCAACUCUGCAUACAGAAUGCAUUUUCACAAUCAUUUAAAAACCUGUUAGCCUAUACAGCUGUUUACCUCUAUGUAUAACAUGUUUUUGUGUGUAAACCCCUGUUCAUAUGUGAACUGCAAUAAAAAAUAAACACUGAGAUUGUAGUGAUGUUUUCGGUUACUGCUGGUUGUGGAAUGUCUUUCCCUUGGAGUACAGUCCAUUCUGAGCAGCAGAGCCUCAACUGUCACAUAUGGCUUUGAAAAAAGUGAAGCACUUUUUAUUUAAAUUUUCAUAAUUAAAAAGGUCUGAUCCUAAAAAAGUGUAUUUUUAUUUAAAAAUCUAGAACAGAUCUAUCUUGUAAAGUUCUGUAUAAUGUAAAAUUAACACCACGUUAAAAAUUCACAUUGACUUCAAAAGUGUUAGGUAAUAGAAAAAGACCCACUAGUGUUAUAAAAAAAAGACAAAAUAAGUCCUAAGAACUAGAUUGCAACCACUUGUUUUCGUGCACAUCGAACCAAACCGUUAUUUGGUUUCCUCAGAGAAGAUUUGCAUUGCAGCAUUCCCUACAGUCCAUCACCUUAUCACCAUUGUAUCAUCCGGCAGGCCCCUUAUUACCACAAUGUACAGAAAACUUCUACAAUGGAAAAAUUUCAAACAAAAACGCACUCAUCUGAAUUCACAGAAACAUUACAUCGUUG